rnacentral:rRNA from 1 species
UUCGAGAGUUACCUCACAACCCCAGCCGCACGUGCACCCCCCAUCGUUGCGUGGCCCGGCCGAGGGUCCGUGGCACUUCCCCGGUAGGAGCGCUCCGGUGGACUUUUAAACUUUUUGUCAUUACCGUGGCUUCUGAGUAGUUAUCAUAAUAAGUUAAAACUUUCAACACCGGAUCUCUUGGUUCUGGCAUCGAUGAAGAAAGCAGCGAAAUGCGAUAAGUAAUGUGAAUUCCAGAAUUCAGUGAAUCAUCGAAUCUUUGAACGCACACUGCGGCCAUUAGUAUUCUAGCGGGCAUGCCUGUUCGAGCGUCAUUACAACCCUUAAGCGGAGCUGCUUAGUGUUGGGACCUCGCGGUAACUGGCGAUCCCUCAAAGGUAUUGCCGGAGUCGAGUCGAACUCUGAGCGUAGUAAUUCUUUUUCUCGCUUCUGAACUCCUCUCGGCGACAGCCACAAACCUACUAUACUUCUAGUGUUGACCUCGGAUCAGGU